GUAGCGGGGAGUGAUCUAAGCCCCAUCGCCGCGUUUCGGUGGCUAAAAACCCGGCGGCGGAAACGUGAAGGAGGAAGUGGGGCUUGUGUGCGGCCGGCUGGGGAAAUCCAGGGGGGUGUGGACGGCUGGAUGGAAACUCCCGCGCGGCUCUGGCCCUGCGGCGGAUACAGCGGUUCCAACCACGUCCCAGCAAGCAUCCCCCGUUUCUGCAUCAUGAAAGGCUCUCCACACAUGGGUGGCGUCUGAGGUCGGAGUCACUGUAGCUCCUACAACGAACACAUUUACAUUACUAACAUCCAAAGACGGCGUGGGGGUUACUUUCACAUUGAGUAGAAAAACUGUCUCUCCCCCCACCACCCCAUGUCUUUCCUUUCCUUUACUCUCACAAGACUAUCGCUUGCACAGCACCUCUGAUACUCUGGUCACCGGAUGUGAAGGACAUGAAACAGGAUACAGAUGACAAGCCAGAUGGAGAGACGCGUCAGGCGAGGUCUGGGAGGGUCCCAAGCGCAGGUGUUGAGGCUUAUUUUGCUUAGCAUAACAAUCUCCAGUCCCAUCCAAGCUAUUGCAAACGGAAACCCCACCCCUUUAAUAAAAGUCUGAAAGUCUGGGCCUCUCCAGUGACACCUGCCACUGCUUUUUAUCCACCGGGAGACAAAGAGAUUCCUGCAAUAGCCUACAAGGGUUAUAGUUGGGGAGGGGAGGGGGAAAGAAGAGACAGAAGAAAGAAACCAAGUAAUGACAGCGGAGAGGAGAGGAGAGAGUGUUGGGAGCUACCUGGCCGGCAUUGUCAUCUGUAUUUAAGACAUGCAUGUAAUUUAGGCAUCUGAAAGCCAGAGACGGUCCUAGAAAAUAAAUUUCCCAUGCUGCACAGCAAUUCAUCAACCCCGAGCCUCCU